UCAAAAUUAUAUGUAUUAAUUUUAUAUUACAGCUGCAAGGAGGAAGAUGAAGAUAAGAAUCUAUUUGAGAAUUCAGAGUUAUAGAAGUAAUGGUAUCCCACACAAGAUCUGCAGAUGGAGAUUCUGUCAGGUCUGCAAUCUGCUACAAAUUGAUUCUGAAAAGAAGAUGCUGGUUUCUAGUAAGCAUGUCACCAAGCAUUAGAUCCUUGCAUUGGGGAACAUAUUGUUUGCCCUGCCACAGGGAAAGGAGAUGACAGAACUUGAAAUAUGAAAAUAUGAGGUGAAUAUUUGCUCCAGAAAAAUCCUGAGGACUUUGAACUGUGUUUGCCUAGCAUUACAGAUCCAUGGAAUAAAGGGGAAAAAGAAACUUGUGGGCA
rnacentral:lncRNA from 1 species